UACGUAGGGGUCAAGCGUUGUCCGGAUUUAUUGGGCGUAAAGAGCUCGUAGGCGGUUUGGUAAGUCGGAUGUGAAAUCUCCAGGCUCAACCUGGAGGGGUCAUUCGAUACUGCCAUGACUAGAGUUCGGUAGGGGAGUGUGGAAUUCCUGGUGGAGCGGUGAAAUGCGCAGAGAUCAGGAGGAACACCCGUAGCGAAGGCGGCACUCUGGAACGCAACUGACGCUGAGACGCGAAAGCGUGGGGAGCAAACAGG
rnacentral:rRNA from 1 species